GACGAUGUGAACUUUUACUGUAUACAAACAAUUAAGUAUACAAAAAUAUUUUUGUCUCUUGGUAUUGGUAGCAAGUAUACUUAGGUAGUUAAUACUAGUUAGUAUAUUAGUAUAUACUUAGGUAGUUAACUAUAGUCUGUGUGGUUAUUCCUCGCCCACAGUAAAAGCUUUAACUAGCUUAGGGCAGCUAAACUUGCAGCUUCUGUACAUAUAAAGUGAGUGAGAAUUAGCAUCACAGUAACCCAGCACUUUCCAUUUGUUGCAGCGGGAAUCAAUGUCGAAUACUUUUUUCUCUAAACAAUAAAAGCACGAUUUCAAAUUAGAUUGCUGGCCAAGGAGCUUCAGUGGGGCAGUCAUCAGAGCAUGCGCCUUUCACCUCUGAGAACGUGGGUUUGAUUCUCGCUACGGACUCAUGUGAGUCAGCCGGGUGCUCCGGUUUCCUUCCACAGGGAAAGUUGACAGGGUGGGUUAGGAUAAACACAGUUAAGAAAGUAAUAUCUCAAUUGACCACUUGCGUAAUAGACUAAAUUUUGAUCUCAACAAAAAUUUCAUCACAGCUUGAAAGAGCAUCACAAAAUUAGUAAUAUUCCAAAGUUUCGUUGCGAAAUGUUGUAAAAUGCGGAAAAUAUAGCCUUGCGAAGUUU